rnacentral:rRNA from 1 species
UACAGAGGUCUCAAGCGUUGUUCGGAUUCAUUGGGCGUAAAGGGUGCGCAGGCGGCGUGGUUAGUUGAGUGUGAAAUCCCGGGGCUCAACCCCGGAACUGCACUCAAUACUGCCAUGCUAGAGGACUGUAGAGGAGAGUGGAAUUCACGGUGUAGCAGUGAAAUGCGUAGAUAUCGUGAGGAAGACCAGUUGCGAAGGCGACUCUCUGGGCAGUUCCUGACGCUCAUGCACGAAGGCCAGGGGAGCAAACGGG